CGUCUGUUUGCUGUUGAAUUGGGUAUUUCCAGGAGACACAGCCAAUAAUUCCCUUGGUAUGCUCUGUGUAGGUCCUGCUUGGCUGGGAGGACCAUGGAAAAGCUGGAAUAACAACCAUGUAGAAGGCAACGAAUUGUAAUUUCCUUGAUGCCUGGCUGUGGGGAAGGAAGAGAAAUUGGAGCAGGAGCUGGCAGGGCUGCGGCAGGUUGAACAUGCAGACCUGGAUUGUAGCAGCAACUCUCAGUGUGACCCCGUGAGGAGCUUUCAGCACCCACCAGGAGUGGGAAAGGACAGGACAGCUUCACCUCCAUCCUCUGUGCACAGACCAGCGAGAAGCACUCCUUCAUUUCUGGACACAUCUUGGUUGUGA
rnacentral:lncRNA from 1 species